rnacentral:rRNA from 1 species
AUUGAACGCUAGCGGGAUGCUUUACACAUGCAAGUCGAACGAGUGGCGGACGGGUGAGUAAUAUAUCGGAACGUGCACAGUAGCGGGGGAUAACUACUCGAAAGAGUGGCUAAUACCGCAUAAUAUUGGAGCGGCCGGUAUGGGAUUAGCGAGUUGGUUGGUGAAAGGAUCACAAAGGCAACGAUCAGUAGCUGGUUUGAGAGGACGCACAGCCACACUGGGACUGAGACACGGCCCAGACUCCGACGGGAGGCAGCAGUGGGGAAUUUUGGACAAUGGGGGAAACCCUGAUCCAGCCAUCCCGCGUGUAUGAGAAGGCCUUCGGGUUGUAAAGUACUUUUGGCAGAGAAGCGGUAUCUGCAGAAUAAGCACGGGCUAACUACGUGCCAGCAGCCGCGGUAAUUC